rnacentral:lncRNA from 1 species
ACGGGAACCCUACCCGUAGUUGUAAUAAUUUAAUUACGUGCCUAAAGCAAACUAUGAAGAAGAAAAGAUAUUAUGCUAUUACACACAUUAUACUAUUAACAAUUUCCAUCACAAGCUUAAUGAAUUACAGCUGAACAUAUGUGUUAAUUUUGAAUACCUAAAUUUUGCAAAGAAAAGAUACUAAAGAACAACCCAUUAAUGCUAACACCUAUUCAGAGCUGAAACUAAUAAUUACACACCCAAACAUAAUAGCAAAUGAUAACAUCAAAUAAGAGGUCUGGAAGUUCAUUUCCCACUCAAACAUAUUAAAAGCUUCAACUUGCCAUUUCAAAGCUCAACGAAAAUACCUGGAUACAACUACAAAAACAAAAUAAAAAAUUCAGCCAGAUGAAACAUAGCAGGAGAUCAACAACAGAACAGUAGUGAUCAGCAACAAUACAACCAAUUCAACCCAUGUUUAGAACCCAAAGCCAGCAAAGUAAUGGAACUCUUUUGAAAAAUCUAGAAAGAAUAAGCAUCAAUUCACCAAUGGAACAGUAUUUGGAAUCCCUUUUUUUUUGUAUUUUUCUAACUCUAAAAGUCCUAUCAAUGUGUGUGUUUUUAGUGCUCUAGGUGCACAGAAUAAUACGGAAAAAUAUUUUAGUCAUUUCUAUCUUUGGACUCUUCGUCUCCGCCCUAAAGAAUGAGUGAAACAGGCUUUAUAUAGAAAGAUUUUAGGGCAGCAACACCUGAUUUUAUUUAUUCAAUAUUACCUCUCUUCAAUUCCCCUUUUGUUCAAUUCAAAUCCCAAACUUUAAACCUAUUCGUUAAAUCAGCCUAUUCCCUACUUUCCUGGAACUUUCCUAGGCAGUUAUCAAAGAUUCCCUCAAUAUAAAUCCCCUAAAUACCCUUUAACCUCUUGUUAUUAACCUUUUCAGAAAGUACCAACAAUUGGGCUAUACCCCGACAUGCUUAAAGCCUUCCCCCUUUUCUUUGGGCUUCAGCACUACAAGGCCCAAUUUCCAAUCCGAAACCAACAACCCACAAAAAAAACCAGACCAAUGGAGUUUUGAACUCCUGACAUCAAAUUUCCAAAUAAGCAAAAACAAAAGGAGAAUUGAGCAAAAGGCAAGGAAGAAAUCAGAAUACACUAACAAAAGAUAUUAACUGUACUAUUAAGCUAAUAUUACUAAAUUAGCCAAUUAUAAACUAACAUGAUAACUGAGAUGAAGAAUACAACUAAAGAGAAAAAGAAAUAUACCAAAUAGACUGAUGGCCCAAAGAUUAUGGCAUCCGGCGAGAGAACCUCAACCCCAUAGUGUGAACUGUAACAUUGAGCACUAGCUGGAAUUUCUUCAAUGGCUUGUGCUCUUUGUCACAGUCCUCAUUACAAGCCAAGACGAAGAAGAACAGAAGCCUGAAAUAAUGGCUCGUCAAUGGUUUUCUUCACCAGAAAUCGGUUACCAUGGAAUGAAUCGAAAUCACAGCCAAUUGACCAGUCGAUUCAUACAUGUUAUUGUCAAGAAGAUGCCAGGUGAGGAAGGAAUCAGAAAAGGGAGAAUAUGUUGGAUCUUCUGUAAUCUUAGAUUUAAGAUUCAGAAAUAUUGGGUAAAUUUUGGAGGAAAUUAAUGGUGGAUUUGGAAUGGGAGGGGGCAACUGAGGUUGUGUGGUCAAUUUUUGGUGGAGUUUAGAGAUCCACCGCCGCCAAUGGCGAAUUCCGAUGGGUGGCGGGCGGUGGUGAGAUAUAAGGUGUGAGGGAGAUGAAGAACAGGGUACUAUGUUGUCUCUGAAG